rnacentral:rRNA from 1 species
GACGAACGCUGGCGGCGUGCUUAACACAUGCAAGUCGAACGGUGAAGCCCUUCGGGGUGGAUCAGUGGCGAACGGGUGAGUAACACGUGAGCAACCUGCCCCUGGCUCUGGGACAACCACUGGAAACGGUGGCUAAUACCGGAUACGACCCGCCUCGGCAUCGAGUGUGGGUGGAAAGUUUUUCGGCUGGGGAUGGGCUCGCGGCCUAUCAGCUUGUUGGUGAGGUGAAGGCUCACCAAGGCGACGACGGGUAGCCGGCCUGAGAGGGCGACCGGCCACACUGGGACUGAGACACGGCCCAGACUCCUACGGGAGGCAGCAGUGGGGAAUAUUGCACAAUGGGCGAAAGCCUGAUGCAGCGACGCCGCGUGAGGGAUGACGGCCUUCGGGUUGUAAACCUCUUUCAGCUCCGAAGAGGCGAAAGUGACGGUAGGAGCAGAAGAAGCACCGGCUAACUACGUG